rnacentral:rRNA from 1 species
GAUAGCAUCUAUAGAGUCAUGAAUAAACCCCUUCCCAUCCCGAACAGAAAAGUUAAAGAUGAUAUCGCCGAUGGUACUAUGAAAAUGGGAGAGUAGGUAAUGCCAACA